GGACGAACGCUGGCGGCGUGCCUAAUACAUGCAAGUCGAGCGAGGGACUUCGGUCCCUAGCGGCGAACGGGUGAGUAACGCGUGGGCAACCUGGCCUUAAGCCUGGGAUAACACCGGGAAACCGGUGCUAACACCAGAUAAUCUUCUUUCUCGCAUGAGGGAGAAGUAAAAGUUAACACUUAAGGAUGGGCCCGCGGUGCAUUAGCUAGUUGGUGGGGUAACGGCCUACCAAGGCUUCGAUGGAUAGCCGACCUGAGAGGGUGACCGGCCACACUGGGACUGAGAUACGGCCCAGACUCCUACGGGAGGCAGCAGUAGGGAAUAUUGCGCAAUGGGCGAAAGCCUGACGCAGCAACGCCGCGUGGGUGACGAAGCUCCUUGGAGUGUAAAACCCUGUCAGUAGGGAAGAACCGGUCGUGGAGGUAAUGCCACGGCCCUGACGGUACCUGCAGAGGAAGUUCCGGCUAACUCCGUGCCAGCAGCCGCGGUAACACGGGGGGAACGAGCGUUGUUCGGAUUUACUGGGCGUAAAGGGUGCGUAGGCGGGCCAGUCAGUCGGGUGUGAAAACUUACGGCUUAACCGUGGGCUUGCAUUCGAAACUGCUGGUCUUGAGUACGGGAGAGGGAAGUGGAAUUCCUGGUGUAGCGGUGAAAUGCGUAGAUAUCAGGAGGAACACCGGUGGCGAAGGCGGCUUCCUGGACCGAUACUGACGCUGAGGCACGAAGGCCGGGGGAGCAAACAGGAUUAGAUACCCUGGUAGUCCCGGCAGUAAACGAUGGGUACUAGGUGUCGGAGGUAUUGACCCCUCCGGUGCCGCAGUUAACACAUUAAGUACCCCGCCUGGGGAGUACGACCGCAAGGUUGAAACUCAAAGGAAUUGACGGGGGCCCGCACAAGCGGUGGAGUAUGUGGUUUAAUUCGACGCAACGCGAAGAACCUUACCUGGGCUUGACAUGCUGUAGCCAGGGUUAGAGAUAACCCCUCGUCUUCGGACGUUUCUGCACAGGUGCUGCAUGGCUGUCGUCAGCUCGUGCCGUGAGGUGUUGGGUUAAGUCCCGCAACGAGCGCAACCCCUGUCCUCAGUUGCCAUCGGGUCAUGCCGGGAACUCCGGGGAGACUGCCUCGGUCAACGGGGAGGAAGGUGGGGACGACGUCAAGUCAUCAUGGCCCUUACGCCCAGGGCUACACACGUAAUACAAUGGUCGGUACAGAGGGUCGCAAGACCGCGAGGUGGAGCCAAUCCCUAAAACCGGCCUCAGUUCAGAUUGGAGUCUGCAACUCGACUCCAUGAAGGCGGAAUCGCUAGUAAUCGCAGAUCAGCACGCUGCGGUGAAUACGUUCCCGGGCCUUCACUCAC
rnacentral:rRNA from 1 species